UUUCAGUUUGCAUGGUCAUUUUGACAAUCCUGCUCUUCUAUGGAAAGUGUUCUUCAUCCAGGACAAUACUGUUGUUCAGAGGUGUUAAAGAAGAAAAUCACUGAAUUUAAGAUUGGUCACACUGAGAGUCACAAGGGGAGCAUCUGUGAGAGCAGCCCACCUAGAACUUCUCCACAUUGCUGCAUAUGGUAGAAUCGUUCUGCCCAUGGAGGCCCAGCAUUAGACUACAGGACUAAUCUAGAGGUGUCCUUCAAAGGAGACACCCAAUCUGCUCAUGCUCACUGCACACCUUCUGCCCGUCAUCUCUGGAGCACCUUGACUCAGAGGACACCCAUUGCCAACCCUUCACCUCCUCAUCUCCUGCAUACGCCACACAUUUUCUGGGAGCUGGGACCCCACAGAAGUUGCCUGAGAUCCUGGGGGUGCUGAGGGGUGUGUGCCUAGUUCUCUAGACCCACUGACUGCAGCUGUGCACAGGUGACUGGCACUCCCCCAGGCCCUGCCCUCUGCAGCAGCCUGUGCUCCACCCUCCCUCCUGGGGACUCACAGUCAGGACUUCUGCUUCCUGUGGACGUAGAUGGCAGAGACACCAACUGCCAGUAGGAUCUUGAGGCCAAGGAACAGGCCUAUGAGGUAUGAAACAAGUGUAGACUUCACUGCUCCUGAAAAUCAAGGGACAGAAGGGACUAUUAGAGGGACUCCUAGCCAUUCGUUCCCAGGAGCCUGCACCUGCCGAGGCCCACCUGGGCCCAACAAUGUUGUGAAGCUUUAGCACACACCCUGUCCUGGCUGCCCUGGUCAUCCUGAGGCAGACUCCUCCUGGGUCAAGAAUUUCCUUAUUUCCACUCAGAUCCCAGGGUGUCCUUGGUGAGAGAAAGUAAAAUGUGUGUUUCAAGCACAUUUCCCACCCA